rnacentral:lncRNA from 1 species
CCUCUCCGCCCGCGUCUCCUCGGCGCGCACUGGUUCUGCGCGGCCGGGGCUUGGCCUGCGCGACUGUCUCCUCAGUCCUGGCGGACUCCGAGCUGGCCGAACCACAAGCUUGUCAGAGGACGGUGGUGGGAACGCUCCCGGCCUCCCCAGGAGCGCGAGCUGGAGGCUGGCGCCAGGCGCGGAGGACUCCCGGUAUCUUUUCACAGGCGGGCGCCUCGGCUCUGGGCACCCGCAGUAGAAACGGGUCUCACCAUGUUGGCCAGGCUGGCCUCAAACUCCUGAACUCAGAUGAUCCACCCGCCUCAGCCUCCCAAAGUGCUGGGAUUACAGGCAUGAGCUACCGUGCCGGCUUAGUAGUAAAUCUUAAUAUAGCAACACCUCACUUGCCUGGAAGAGGGAACCUCAAUCAAUCAAAAUGAGGGCCUACAGGAAUGCCUGACAUGAUGCAAACACUUAAAAGUUAUCUGUUGAAUGAGACGUCUACAAAUGCUAGGCCCUGGGGAUACAAUAAUCUGGAAAACCAGACUUGCAGGAUGCAGACGUUGAUCAUAUAAACAGAUACGCACAGAAUUAAGUGUAAAAUUGCCACCUGGUAAGACCUGUGCGAGGAAGGUACUGGAGUCUCUACCCGGUGACCUGGCCUAGUUUGAGAAGCCAAGAAAGUUUCCCCUAGAAAGUGACAUUUCAGCUGACAUUGGAAAGAUGAAUGGGAAUUAACUAAGUAAGGGAGAUAGUAUUGGGAGAACCAAAAAGUAAUGUGGAGCUUGGGGGGUGGGGGAAGGAAAUGAGAUGGAGCUAACCAGAUAAAUCUAGGGACCAUCAGGAGUUGGCCUUUUGUUCUAAGAGCAGAGGCUUUCAGGCAGAGGAGUUCUGUGAUCAUAUAUAUGUAGCAAACUUUAUUUUCUAAUAUCUCUGCACAGGUCAGGUUAGAAGUGUCAACUCACUGGGAAUGGUUUAUAAAUAGAGAAACAAAAGGAGUUACAAGAUGAGUCAAAACAGUGACAGCUCAGUUUAUUAAGUGGAGGGACAAACUGCCUCUCUAUAUCUCAGUAUUGUCUAUAAUGAUUCUGUUAUUAGUAUUAUCAGUAAUAAAUUGUGCUUAGUGUACUUUAAGAAAGCUAGAAUCUGAGCAAAGUACUGAGGAUGCAAUAAUAGAAGCCCCCUUCGCCUCUUCGGGCUCUCACUGUAGUGAGAAAAUAGAC